CGCAAAUAACAUUAUUAAUAACCUGUAAAUAAUAAAAUGUGUACACAUUACGUUCCUCUUCACGUUGUAAUAGUAUGUUUUUGGUUUAAUAGUCGGCUUUAAGUUAGUUUUUCUGUCAGUUUGAUCGUCAAAAUCUUGAAAGUUAUCUACAGCCACACAUCCACUGUAUACCAAGUUAUGAUGAUCAAUUAUGAGAAUGCAAAAGGAUUUAUAGAUCAGUAAACAAUCAACAAAAAGGUAAUGUCUUAAUAUAUUUCUGCUUUUGUUACUUAUUCAUGUAUUUGAAUUACAUAAUUCAAAAUCAAAUGUUAAUAAUUAUAGGGUUUCAACUUGUUGCAGCUUUACAAAAAAUGUAGAAUUUGUAGGAGCAUGGACAACUGAGUAACAAAGUCAUAUUAUGCAGAUGGGUGCUCAUGGUGGCCUCCAAAUAAAUACAUGGACAGGCUGCUAAAGAGGGUCAGGAUGAUGGAGAUGCAAGAGCCAAAGACAGCACGGACCAAACACCAGGCCAGAAUUCUGCAUGAGUCAGUUUCCAGGCUUUUUCACAAAGUUGCCGACAACUGGAAGAAUGUCCCAAAUUGCUGAAAAAAGAAAUUCAGUAAGUCCUUAUAAAAGAGACAGUUUAAAAGAUUGAGUAAUUUUCACUCUAGAGACCCUGGGGUGACCAACAAGGACGAAUGAAAACUCCAGUGAGUGUCUCUAAGGUAGAUCCUAAUGCAGAUGGAUGGAAUGUUGAUCCGCCUAACAUGCAAGAUUUUCUGUACCGAGAACUUUGGAUGACCAUCAAGACAAGCACUCGUUUUGAGUCCUGAGACCCUGGGGUGACCACCGUGAACAAAUACAGACUGGAAAAAGGCAGU